rnacentral:rRNA from 1 species
UACAGAGGUCUCAAGCGUUAAUCGGAAUUACUGGGCGUAAAGGGUGCGUAGGCGGUUGUUUAAGUCUGUCGUGAAAUCCCCGGGCUCAACCUGGGAAUGGCGAUGGAUACUGGGCAGCUAGAGUGUGUCAGAGGAUGGUGGAAUUCCCGGUGUAGCGGUGAAAUGCGUAGAGAUCGGGAGGAACAUCAGUGGCGAAGGCGGCCAUCUGGGACAACACUGACGCUGAAGCACGAAAGCGUGGGGAGCAAACAGG